rnacentral:rRNA from 1 species
CUGGGAUUUCUGAAUGGGGAAACCCACUUACAUAAGUAAGUAUCAUUAACUGAAUACAUAGGUUAAUGAGGCGAACCGGGGGAACUGAAACAUCUAAGUACCCCGAGGAAAAGAAAUCAACCGAGAUUCCGAAAGUAGCGGCGAGCGAAAUUGGACUAGCCCUUAAGCUUUACACGCGUUAGACGAACGGUCUGGAAAGUCCGACGAUACAGGGUGAUAGUCCCGUAGUUGACGACGUGUGUUCAGUGAAAUCGAGUAGGGCGGGACACGUGAUAUCCUGUCUGAAUAUGGGGGGACCAUCCUCCAAGGCUAAAUACUACUGACUGACCGAUAGUGAACCAGUACCGUGAGGG